rnacentral:rRNA from 1 species
UACGUAGGGCGCAAGCGUUGUCCGGAAUUAUUGGGCGUAAAGAGCUCGUAGGCGGCUUGUCACGUCGGAUGUGAAAGCCCGAGGCUUAACCUCGGGUCUGCAUUCGAUACGGGCUAGCUAGAGUGUGGUAGGGGAGAUCGGAAUUCCUGGUGUAGCGGUGAAAUGCGCAGAUAUCAGGAGGAACACCGGUGGCGAAGGCGGAUCUCUGGGCCAUUACUGACGCUGAGGCGCGAAAGCUAGGGGAGCGAACGGG